AGUUGAAUGAAUUAGACAUCGUAAAAUAAAACGACAGAUAACAAAAACAGGAUAAAGUAGUCCUUAAAUGCAAUGUAUGUUAUUUAAAGCAAGAAUUUUACAUUAAUUCUAUCUGAACGUAUUUAUUAGCAGACUACUUACUCCACCACCUGCGUGGCGUCAUCAACUAGAUUGCUGAACAACUUGGUUCAAACAAUUGAUCUCCGACAGAGUUCUACGGUUUCAGGAAACAGCUGUAACUACAUCGUUAAUUUCCCCAACGAUGUAUCGUACUAUGAUAGUUAACCACAAAGACAGCAACUGCAGCAGCAACAUCCUCAGCAGCCCCCUCAACAUCCGGUGCGCAACGUUUUGCUAUGGUCCGGGUUGACGACACGUUUCCUGGAAACGGUUCGCAACGAAUUCUCUGAUGUCCACUGAUGGAUCUCAAGAGGAGAGAGUGUGUCAUGGGCAGGUUAUUAAAUCCCAUUUUGAAAUAAUAUUUAUGAGAGUAGGCGUUUAUAUGGCCUGCGGCAUCAGAGGGAGUUAGAGGCCAAUCGGGUCAGAGGAGAGGACAUAUUCUGUGAUGGAACACAUCUGGAGAGAAGAUUCUCCAGCCCGUGCAUUUCUGCCACAUCAUUGUGUGAUACAAAUAUAGCUAACAGCUCGUAUAACUUCAACCUUACGUUUCCAGACUUCUGUGUUUCUGUGUACCUGAUUCAUUUCCUCUCAUUUCACGCUUUGUUGUAUAUUUUGUGUGUUUAUGUUAAGAGUUACUGCAGAUCUAAUCUUCCAAAAGUAUCUGCACAAUGUCACAGAUGCUGUUAAAAUAUGUAUUUAAUGUCCAUGACGUCUCAAAUUAAACACAUCUCA